CCCUUAGAUGUUCUGGGCUGCACGCGCGCUACACUGAAGCUAUCAACACGUUUUCCCUCCCUGAGAAGGGCGGGUAACCUUUUGAAUCAGCUUCGUGGUAGGGAUCGGGGCUUGCAAUUGUUCCCCGUGAACCAGGAAUUCCUAGUAGACGCGAGUCAUAAGCUCGCAUCGAUUAAGUCCCUGCCCUUUGUACACACCGCCCGUCGCUACUACCGAUUGAACGUUUUAGUGAGGCAUUGGACCGACGCAUCUCAGUUUAACCGCUGGUUUGUGUUGGAAAGACUUCCAAACUUGAGCGUUUAGAGGAAGUAAAAGUCGUAACA
rnacentral:rRNA from 1 species